rnacentral:rRNA from 1 species
GACGAACGCUGGCGGCGUGCUUAACACAUGCAAGUCGAACGGAAAGGCCUGUCCUUCCUUGUGUUGGACGGGUACUCGAGUGGCGAACGGGUGAGUAACACGUGAGUGAUCUGCCCCCAACUUGGGUAUAAGCCUGGGAAACUGGGUCUAAUUCCCGAUAGGACUGCAGGGUGGUGCCUGUGGUGGAAAACGAUUUUCUAGUGGUUGGGGAUGAGCUCGCGGCCUAUCAGCUUGUUGGUGGGGUAAUGGCCUACCAAGGCGGCGACGGGUAGCCGGCCUGAGAGGGUGGACGGCCGCAUUGGGACUGGGAUACGGCCCAGACGCCUACGGGAGGCAGCAGUGGGGAAUAUUGCACAAUGGGCGGAAGCCUGAUGCAGCGACGCCGCGUGGGGGAUGUCGGCCUUCGGGUGGUAAUCUCCUUUCGACCGCGAGGAAGCCGCCUGGUUGGAAGGGUGGUGACGGUAGUGGUAGAAGAAGCACCGGCUAACUACGUG